rnacentral:rRNA from 1 species
UAACUGGAGAGUUUGAUCCUGGCUCAGAUUGAACGCUGGCGGCGUGCUUAACACAUGCAAGUCGAACGAGAAAGGGACUUCGGUCCUGAGUAGAGUGGCGCACGGGUGAGUAACGCGUAGGUAAUCUACCUCUGCAUCUGGGAUAACACUUCGAAAGGGGUGCUAAUACCGGAUACACUUAUGGACCGCAAGGUCUAUAAGGAAAGGAGACCUCUCCUUGGAAGUUUCUGUGUAGAGAUGAGCCUGCGUCCCAUUAGCUAGUUGGCAGGGUAAAGGCCUACCAAGGCGACGAUGGGUAGCGGGUCUGAGAGGAUGAUCCGCCACACUGGAACUGAAACACGGACCAGACUCCUACGGGAGGCAGCAGUGAGGAAUAUUGGACAAUGGGCGCAAGCCUGAUCCAGCGACGCCGCGUGAGUGAUGAAGGCCUUUGGGUCGUAAAGCUCUGUCAGCAGGGAAGAACGGCCGUGCGGUUAAUACCCGUGCGGAUUGACGGUACCUGCAGAGGAAGCACCGGCUAACUCCGUGCCAGCAGCCGCGGUAAUACGGAGGGUGCGAGCGUUAAUCGGAAUUACUGGGCGUAAAGGGCGCGUAGGCGGCUGAUCAAGUCAGGUGUGAAAGCCCACGGCUUAACCGUGUGAAGUGCAUCUGAAACUGGUCGGCUUGAGUAUCGGAGAGGAAAGUGGAAUUCCCGGUGUAGAGGUGAAAUUCGUAGAUAUCGGGAGGAAUACCGGUGGCGAAGGCGACUUUCUGGACGAAUACUGACGCUGAGGCGCGAAAGCGUGGGGAGCAAACAGGAUUAGAUACCCUGGUAGUCCACGCGGUAAACGAUGAACACUAGGUGUAGCGGGUAUUGACCCCUGCUGUGCCGUAGCUAACGCAUUAAGUGUUCCGCCUGGGGAGUACGGCCGCAAGGCU